rnacentral:rRNA from 1 species
AACGAACGCUGGCGGCAUGCCUAACACAUGCAAGUCGAACGAGACCUUCGGGUCUAGUGGCGCACGGGUGCGUAACGCGUGGGAAUCUGCCCUUAGGUUCGGAAUAACUCCCCGAAAGGGGUGCUAAUACCGGAUAAUGUCUUCGGACCAAAGAUUUAUCGCCUUUGGAUGGGCCCGCGUUGGAUUAGCUAGUUGGUAGGGUAAAAGCCUACCAAGGCGACGAUCCAUAGCUGGUCUGAGAGGAUGAUCAGCCACACUGGGACUGAGACACGGCCCAGACUCCUACGGGAGGCAGCAGUGGGGAAUAUUGGACAAUGGGCGAAAGCCUGAUCCAGCAAUGCCGCGUGAGUGAUGAAGGCCUUAGGGUUGAAAAGCUCUUUUACCCGGGAUGAUAAUGACAGUACCGGGAGAAUAAGCUCCGGCUAACUCCGUG